AAACCAACAGGGAUUGCCUUAGUAGCGGCGAGUGAAGCGGCAAAAGCUCAAAUUUGAAAUCUGGCUCUUUCAGAGUCCGAGUUGUAAUUUGAAGAAGGUAUCUUUGGGUCUGGCUCUUGUCUAUGUUUCUUGGAACAGAACGUCACAGAGGGUGAGAAUCCCGUGCGAUGAGAUGAUCCAGGCCUAUGUAAAGUUCCUUCGAAGAGUCGAGUUGUUUGGGAAUGCAGCUCUAAGUGGGUGGUAAAUUCCAUCUAAAGCUAAAUAUUGGCGAGAGACCGAUAGCGAACAAGUACAGUGAUGGAAAGAUGAAAAGAACUUUGAAAAGAGAGUGAAAAAGUACGUGAAAUUGUUGAAAGGGAAGGGCUUGAGAUCAGACUUGGUAUUUUGUAUGUUACUUCUUCGGGGGUGGCCUCUACAGUUUAUCGGGCCAGCAUCAGUUUGGGCGGUAGGAGAAUUGCGUUGGAAUGUGGCACGGCUUCGGUUGUGUGUUAUAGCCUUCGUCGAUACUGCCAGCCUAGACUGAGGACUGCGGUUUAUACCUAGGAUGUUGGCAUAAUGAUCUUAAGUCGCCCG
rnacentral:rRNA from 1 species